GGACAAGCCCUGGAAACGGGGUCUAAUACCGGAUACCACUCCUGCCCGCAUGGGUAGGGGUUGAAAGCUCCGGCGGUGAAGGAUGAGCCCGCGGCCUAUCAGCUUGUUGGUGGGGUAAUGGCCCACCAAGGCGACGACGGGUAGCCGGCCUGAGAGGGCGACCGGCCACACUGGGACUGAGACACGGCCCAGACUCCUACGGGAGGCAGCAGUGGGGAAUAUUGCACAAUGGGCGAAAGCCUGAUGCAGCGACGCCGCGUGAGGGAUGACGGCCUUCGGGUUGUAAACCUCUUUCAGCAGGGAAGAAGCGAAAGUGACGGUACCUGCAGAAGAAGCGCCGGCUAACUACGUGCCAGCAGCCGCGGUAAUACGUAGGGCGCAAGCGUUGUCCGGAAUUAUUGGGCGUAAAGAGCUCGUAGGCGGCUUGUCACGUCGGAUGUGAAAGCCCGAGGCUUAACCUCGGGUCUGCAUUCGAUACGGGCUAGCUAGAGUGUGGUAGGGGAGAUCGGAAUUCCUGGUGUAGCGGUGAAAUGCGCAGAUAUCAGGAGGAACACCGGUGGCGAAGGCGGAUCUCUGGGCCAUUACUGACGCUGAGGAGCGAAAGCGUGGGGAGCGAACAGGAUUAGAUACCCUGGUAGUCCACGCCGUAAACGUUGGGAACUAGGUGUUGGCGACAUUCCACGUCGUCGGUGCCGCAGCUAACGCAUUAAGUUCCCCGCCUG
rnacentral:rRNA from 1 species